rnacentral:lncRNA from 1 species
GUACGCUAGUUGAAACAAAAAGAUCUGGCUUGGCGUUUCUGAAUUUGGGUGUUCCUUAUACCAUAAACAUAAAUAUAUUUUUUUGUCCUAUACUUUAUUAUGAUGAUGAAGAAACUCAUUAUCAUUACAUUUCACUUUUGACAUCAGUCUAGACACAUAUUUAUUUGAAUGACCAACACAUUCACAUGGAAAAAAAAAAAGACUUGAAGCUUUAAUACACUUCCUUUUAUUGAAGAGCCAAUAUCUCUGGCUUUCAAGAAGGCUCUGGACAGGGUAUCAAACAGCGUUAAGUUAAUCCUUUAAAUUACAGUCAUGAGGAAAUGAAAAAGUACUGUCAGUUUGUUUUAGAACUAAAUAUGUGAACACUUUAUCUCAGAGGAAUCUGUUUUCUGCCUGCUGAGAUCAUUUAUAUCAUUACUAAGGGUGGAUAAGUUAUUGUAUUACCUGAAUUGGCUAAGAUAUUGCUGUCUUCAUAGUUACUUGACAUCAUUCCAGUAGCAAAAUCAGUGGUUACAGUCAUUAGAAUGAUGAGUCAAAAAUCCAAUUUUACAUCAAAAAGCAAAUCCUAAGGCUGUAUUGGCUAAUAUAUAAAUUACACAUACACAGAUUUCCUAAAUUAAAAAAAAACCCAAAACAGCAACAGAAAAACCCACCCGGCUACAUGAUGGUGACGUAAGCAGGAGGCAAGAGACUGUCUGUAGAAAUGUGGAAAGCUCUCCUGGAGGCAAGGCAAGUUCCCUCCUUGGUGACGGCUGACAGAGAAUUCAAAGUCAGAGGCUGAGACUGUGAAGGAGGGGAUCAAGCAAGAAAAAUUCAGGAAAGCAUCUUGGCAGCGGGAUGAAUUUGCCAGCGGACUAACUGGCUCGGGAUGUGGUCAAAGAGAGAAGACAGAGGCUAAGAGACAUGAACUCCUAGCUGAGAACUCAGGGCAUCUGGGAGCCAGAGCCUAGGAGCCCUGGCCUUGCGAAGAGACGAGAGGUACGUGAUCACUUGUAUUUUGCCUUUGUGAGAGACAAUGAUUCCUCAGCCAGCCUUUUCC